CUCACGCAACACAUUCAGCCGGCAGACGAACACCGUCACGCAUGGUUCUGAUGCGACUUCACACCGCCGACUAACUUAACCAGGUUUGUCAGCAAGUGUCUUAGCUAGCUGACAGAUGCAAAGCCAGUAGCUCAAAUAUAGUUGCUCUGAAUGUGAAGGUGUAUCUAUGAGGUGAAACUAACGAAAGUCUUGAGGAGGAAAGGCAAGCUCUUACACUGGAGGUGAAGAACAACUAACAGCUAAUCCAAAGUGAAGCAGGCAGCAGGACACAAUAUCAGCCUUAUCAUGGCAGCCAUGGACAAGGGUAUUGAUCUUGGUGCAGUGAGAGGAAUGGAGAAGGAAUGGUUUUGGGCAUCUACUUUGUCUGACACAAGGGAGCAGACUCUACAGAUCCACCUGAGGAUGUUGGCAUCAUUAAAAUAUGCACAGUGCUGCAAGAUCUGGGAGAUUUGGCAAAUGGGUGUGCAGUCCUGCUUGGCUUGAUCUAUAGUUUAAACUUGAGCUAUCCCAAGGUUCUGCAAUACACAUUUGAAUUUCUUUAAAGUGUUGAUGGAAUUGGAUGGGAACAAGCUCUCCAGUACAGUACAGGUCCUCAACAACAAACUGUGUGACUUCUGUUGACUCUUGGGCAAAGAAAUAAACUGUGACUAGCUUUGAAUUUUGGAGCAGUGCUGGACAAGGAGAUGAAUCUAAAGAACAAAUUUUGCUUGAUUGCAGUUAUUACAAUGUUUCAAGUUUUUUUAGCUGUCAUACAUGUUUGAAUUUCUUCAGAAAGUGAUGGCUUUGUAUAGGAACAAGCUUUUGAUUUAAGGCGCAAGUCCUUGAAAACUUCUGUUGACUCUUACUUGGGCAGCGUUACUUGUCUUUGGAUUUUGGACUGCUGCUGGACAAAACAAUCAGCAGUGUAAAGAGGUGUUGGGUUUUUUUUUUUGGUAAUUGCUGUUUCAAGUUCAGCCUUGAGCAUGUGUAAAUUGAGCAACUUUUGUUUUCUGAAUACUUGCUGGACCAUAAAACUUCAAAAAUUAAAGACAAAAAACAGUUUUGAUAUUGUUGGUUAUCUCACCCAUAAAUGUGAAGAGAUUCACAAACCUCUUUUAAAAUAAACCUUUUUAAAUUAAUUUAAUCUUUGUAUUUUGAUCUAC